rnacentral:rRNA from 1 species
UCGAACGGUAACAGGAAGCAGCUUGCUGCUUUGCUGACGAGUGGCGGACGGGUGAGUAAUGUCUGGGAAACUGCCUGAUGGAGGGGGAUAACUACUGGAAACGGUGGCUAAUACCGCAUAACGUCGCAAGACCAAAGAGGGGGACCUUCGGGCCUCUUGCCAUCAGAUGUGCCCAGAUGGGAUUAGCUUGUUGGUGAGGUAACGGCUCACCAAGGCGACGAUCCCUAGCUGGUCUGAGAGGAUGACCAGCCACACUGGAACUGAGACACGGUCCAGACUCCUACGGGAGGCAGCAGUGGGGAAUAUUGCACAAUGGGCGCAAGCCUGAUGCAGCCAUGCCGCGUGUAUGAAGAAGGCCUUCGGGUUGUAAAGUACUUUCAGCGGGGAGG